AUUGAACGCUGGCGGCAGGCCUAACACAUGCAAGUCGAACGAGUGGCGGACGGGUGAGUAAUGUAUGGGAAACUGCCUGAUGGCGGGGGAUAACUACUGGAAACGGUAGCUAAUACCGCAUACCAUCGGAUGUGCCCAGAUGGGAUUAGCUAGUAGGUGGGGUAAAGGCUCACCAAGGCGACGAUCCAUAGCUGGUCUGAGAGGAUGACCAGCCACACUGGUACUGAGACACGGCCCAGACUCCUACGGGAGGCAGCAGUGGGUAAUAUUGCACAAUGGGCGAAACCCUGAUCCAGCCAUGCCGCGUGUAUGAAGAAGGCCUUCGGGUUGUAAAGUACUUUCAGCGGGGAGGCGGUACCUGCAGAAUAAGCACCGGCUAACUCCGUGCCAGCAGCCGCGGUAAUAC
rnacentral:rRNA from 1 species